rnacentral:lncRNA from 1 species
CUCCUGCUCCUCAACCUUCUUCUCCGGCCCCUCAGCCCAGCGGUAGUACUCCCUCUCCGGUUCCUGCACCAGCACGGACACCGACACCGGCACCAGCACCAGCACCAGAACCAGCAACAACACCUACGCCAGCACCAGCAUCAGCACCAACACCAACACCGAGAUCAGCACCAACACCAGCUCCCACAAGACAGCCAGCGACUCAUGUUGUUGGAGGUGCUCUAGGAUGGACUGUCCCUCCCAACGCUUCUGUGGGUUACCAGAAUUGGGCUCGCAACAACAACUUUUCGGUCGGAGACAUU